UGCCCCAUGGCUGAGUUGGUUACAGCGUCCGACUGUUAUGUUAUAUAUAUGAACGUGUCAGACAAUCGGAAGGUCGUGAGUUCGAGCCUCACUGGGGCAG
rnacentral:tRNA from 1 species